rnacentral:ncRNA from 1 species
GUCGCCGCGAGGCGGGGUCUGAAGGAAGCUGCAAGCAAAGUGCCGGCCUGACGAACAGCAAGCGCAUAUGAGGCGGCCGCAACCGGGCGAGGGGGCGCAUGGACCCGAAGCCCGAUAUCACCCCGGAGGGUGCGGCCGUAGAUGCGACAGGCACAUGGCACGAAGGUCA